UACGUAGGCAGCAAGCGUUGUUCGGAUUUACUGGGCGUAAAGGGUGUGUAGGCGGUUCUUUAAGUUUGCUGUGAAAUCUCCCGGCUUAACCGGGAGGGUGCGGUGAAUACUGAGGGACUAGAGUACGGGAGAGGAAAGUGGAAUUCCUGGUGUAGCGGUGAAAUGCGUAGAUAUCAGGAGGAACACCGGUGGUGUAGACGGCUCUCUGGACCGUAACUGACGCUGAGACACGAAAGCGUGGGUAGCAAACAGG
rnacentral:rRNA from 1 species